CCAAACACACCUAAAAGCGCUGCAAAGUGUGAGGGGGACAUUUUCACCUUUGAUAGGCCAGAUGGAGAGGAUGUUCUGGGGGAGCUGGAGUUU